GACGAACGCUGGCGGCGUGCCUAAUACAUGCAAGUAGAACGCUGAAGGAGGAGCUUGCUCUUCUGGAUGAGUUGCGAACGGGUGAGUAACGCGUAGGUAACCUGCCUGGUAGCGGGGGAUAACUAUUGGAAACGAUAGCUAAUACCGCAUAACAGUAGAUGUUGCAUGACAUUUACUUAAAAGGUGCAAUUGCAUCACUACCAGAUGGACCUGCGUUGUAUUAGCUAGUUGGUGGGGUAACGGCUCACCAAGGCGACGAUACAUAGCCGACCUGAGAGGGGGAUCGGCCACACUGGGACUGAGACACGGCCCAGACGCCUACGGGAGGCAGCAGUAGGGAAUCUUCGGCAAUGGACGGAAGUCUGACCGAGCAACGCCGCGUGAGUGAAGAAGGUUGUCGGAUCGUAAAGCUCUGUUGUAAGAGAAGAACGAGUGUGAGAGUGGAAAGUUCACACUGUGACGGUAUCUUACCAGAAAGGGACGGCUAACUACGUG
rnacentral:rRNA from 1 species